ACCCAGCACCCCCCGCAACCACCAGACCCCUCCCUGAGCUGGGCAGGGCACCCAGGUGUCCGGACACCCAGCACCCCCCCCAACUACCAGACCCCUCCCUGAGCUGGGCAGGGAACCCAGGUGUCCGGACACCCAGCAGCCCCGCAACCACCAGACCCCUCCCUGAGCUGGGCAGGGCACCCAGGUGUCCGGGCACCCAGCACCCCCGACCCCCGCCAACCACCAGACCCCUCCCUGAGCUGGGCAGGGAACCCAGGUGUCCGGGCACCCAGCACCCCCGCCAACCACCAGACCCCUCCCUGAGCUGGGCAGGGCACCCAGGUGUCCGGGCACCCAGCACCCCCGACCCCCGCCAACCACCAGACCCCUCCCUGAGCUGGGGAGAGAACCCAGGCGUCCAGGCUGCAAGGGGACAGUGUUAGUCCUUCCAGUGUCCAGCCCCGCCCCCCAGCAAAGUUUGCAGGGGGCUCCCAGGACCC